UGCCGGCAGAUUGUCUCUGGGUCCCGAGACAAGACCAUAAAGUUAUGGAAUACUCUGGGUGUCUGCAAGUACACUGUUCAGGACGAGAGUCAUUCAGAAUGGGUGUCUUGUGUUCGCUUCUCCCCGAACAGCAGCAACCCAAUCAUUGUCUCCUGUGGAUGGGACAAGCUGGUUAAGGUGUGGAAUCUGGCUAACUGCAAACUAAAGACCAACCACAUUGGCCACACUGGCUAUCUGAACACAGUGACCGUCUCUCCAGAUGGAUCUCUCUGUGCUUCUGGAGGCAAGGAUGGCCAGGCUAUGCUGUGGGAUCUCAAUGAAGGCAAGCACCUUUACACAUUAGAUGGUGGUGACAUCAUCAAUGCCUUGUGCUUCAGCCCCAACCGCUACUGGCUUUGCGCUGCCACUGGCCCCAGUAUCAAGAUCUGGGACUUGGAGGGCAAGAUCACUGUAGAUGAAUUGAAGCAAGAAGUUAUCAGCACCAGCAGCAAGGCAGAGCCGCCCCAGUGCACCUCUCUGGCAUGGUCCGCAGAUGGCCAGACUCUGUUUGCUGGCUAUACAGACAACUUGGUGCGAGUAUGGCAGGUGACUAUUGGUACCCGCUAAAAGUUUAUGACCGAGUCUUAAAAAUAAACUGGCUUUCUGAAAAAAAAAAA